AGCAGCCGCGGUAAUUCCAGCUCCAAUAGCGUAUAUUAAAGUUGUUGCAGUUAAAAAGCUCGUAGUUGAAUUUCGGAGUUUAUCGGUUGGUCGGGCUUCACUGUCCGCACUGACCUGAUGGAUUCCUACCUUCUGAAUAACCAGCAUGCUACUAAGUUAGUGCGUUGGGGAAGCAGAGCUAUUACCUUAGAAAAAAUUAGAGUGCUUAAAGCAGGCUUAUGCUUGAAUAGAUUA
rnacentral:rRNA from 1 species